GACGUAGGGUCCGAGCGUUGUCCGGAGUUACUGGGCGUAAAGGGCGCGUAGGCGGCUUUGUGCGUCACACGUGAAAGCCCCUGGCUUAACCAGGGAGGGUCGUGUGAAACGGCGAAGCUGGAGGCAGAGAGAGGCUGGUGGAAUUCCCGGAGUAGUGGUGAAAUGCGUAGAUAUCGGGAGGAACACCGGUGGCGAAGGCGGCCAGCUGGCUCUGACCUGACGCUGAGGCGCGGAAGGCGUGGGGAGCGAACGGG
rnacentral:rRNA from 1 species